UACAGAGGUCCCAAGCGUUGUUCGGAAUUACUGGGCGUAAAGGGUGCGUAGGCGGCUUUCUAAGUUGGAUGUGAAACUCUGGGCUCAACCCAGAGCCUGCAUCCAAAACUGGAGAGCUUGGGUUCUGGAGGGGAAAGCGGAAUUCCUGGUGUAGCGGUGAAUGACGUAGAUAUCAGGAGGAACACCGGUGGCGAAGGCGGCUUUCUGGACAGAUACCGACGCUGAGGCACGAAAGCUAGGGGAGCAAACAGG
rnacentral:rRNA from 1 species